rnacentral:rRNA from 1 species
CCUACGGGAGGCAGCAGUGAGGAAUAUUGGGCAAUGGCCGUAAGGCUGAACCAGCCAAGUCGCGUGAAGGAAGAAGGAGCGAUGGGUUGUAAACUGCAGUUAUAGGGGAAUAAAGGAAGCCACGUGUGGAUAUUUGCAUGGACACUAUGAAUAAGCAUCGGCUAACUCCGUGCCAGGAGACGCGGUAAUACGGAGGAUUCGAGCGUUAGCCGGAUUUCUUGGGGUUAAAGGGUGCGUAGGGUGUUUUUUAAGUCAGCGGUGAAGGUUUGUGGCGCACCCCUAAAAUUGCCGUUGAAACUGUCAGCCUUGAGUGUGUUUGAGGUAGGCGGAAUUCGUGUUGUAGCGGU